rnacentral:rRNA from 1 species
UACGUAGGGGGCAAGCGUUGUCCGGAAUCAUUGGGCAUAAAGAGCGCGUAGGCGGUCCGGUAAGUCAGCUGUGAAAGUCAAGGGCUCAACCCUUGAAAGCCGGUUGAUACUGUCGGGCUAGAGUCCGGAAGAGGCGAGUGGAAUUCCAGGUGUAGCGGUGAAAUGCGUAGAUAUCUGGAGGAAUACCGGUGGCGAAGGCGGCAUCCUGGACCGAGAUUGACACUGAGGAGCGAAAGCCAGGGGAGCAAACGGG